CCUACGGGGUGCUGCAGUGGGGAAUAUUGCACAAUGGGCGCAAGCCUGAUGCAGCCAUGCCGCGUGUGUGAAGAAGGCCUUCGGGUUGUAAAGCACUUUCAGCGGGGAGGAAGGCGUUAAGGUUAAUAACCUUGUCGAUUGACGUUACCCGCAGAAGAAGCACCGGCUAACUCCGUGCCAGCAGCCGCGGUAAUACGGAGGGUGCAAGCGUUAAUCGGAAUUACUGGGCGUAAAGCGCACGCAGGCGGUCUGUCAAGUCGGAUGUGAAAUCCCCGGGCUCAACCUGGGAACUGCAUUCGAAACUGGCAGGCUAGAGUCUUGUAGAGGGGGGUAGAAUUCCAGGUGUAGCGGUGAAAUGCGUAGAGAUCUGGAGGAAUACCGGUGGCGAAGGCGGCCCCCUGGACAAAGACUGACGCUCAGGUGCGAAAGCGUGGGGAGCAAACAAGAUUAGAUACCCGUGUAGUC
rnacentral:rRNA from 1 species